rnacentral:rRNA from 1 species
CACGUAGGGCGCGAGCGUUGUCCGGAAUUAUUGGGCGUAAAGGGCUCGUAGGCGGUUUGUUGCGUCGAAAGUGAAAUCCGGGGCUUAACUCCGGACUUGCUUCGAUACGGGCAGACUAGAGGUAGGCAGGGGAGAGUGGGAAUUCCUGGUGUAGCGGUGGAUGCGCAGAUAUCAGGAGGAACACCGGUGGCGAAGGCGGCUCUCUGGGCCUUACCUGACGCUGAGGAGCGAAAGCGUGGGGAGCGAACGG